ACACUGAACAACAGCCGUCCCUGCCCACAGCAGCUCGGAGCUGUGGGAGCAGUGGGCCAGCCGCCUCACCACAUCUGUGUUUUCAGCCCAGGCUGCCCAGAGUCGUGGAGCUGACAUGCUUCCAGCACUGCAGAUGCUGGCACAGCCGCUCUGCCCAGACAGCAGCUGAGCUCUGCGGCGAUCCGUGUCCUGACAUGAGCCGAGCUGCAGAGGAAAUGACUGGAGAAGCAAAUUGCGUUCGAAGAAGUACGGCGGAUGGGGACAAUUCUUCCACGAUUUUGUGGAUAUACAAGACUCAGCUUGAUUCUCCUUGAACCCUACCUGGUUGGAAGAGAAAAGCGUAAGUGGUUCUUCUCCCCUCUCCUAACCUAAGAGACUCCAGGAAGUGUUUAGCCAGCAGAAGAGGCACAGUGACAAUUACUUACGGGAUCAUUCUUGCCCAGCUGAAUGCGAUACCGAGUAAUGAAAGUUGGCUUUCCUGUUACAUCAGCCACCAUAAGGAUUCCAUUGAAGCACCAGAAAGCAAGGCUAGGAACCAACGCAGCCCCUGUGACAGGAGGAAAGAAGUGCUUCUCCUCAAGCCUCUUUGUUCUAACAGUCUUACCAAGAAGCAGAGUUCAUAAAAGCAGUGAAUAUGAGCAGGCCUGUACCGAGGACCAAGGCAGAGGUCUUCACAGCAUCCCAGAGCUUCUCUUCCUGUGAGCAAGCAACAAGAGUAAGUAUGUGAUAACUUUCUGCCAAUUUAGCAUGUUGCAUGAAUUACACAACCUGAGUGAAGUUCUGGGCUGGGAAGGCAAAAUGGUCACAAUCACCCACAGAGAUAAGCUUUGAAUCCGAAUAGCGCCCAGAAGAUGCUGACAGCAUCAAGGUCGCUUGAUAGAGAGCAGUGGCCAGAAAAAACCCUCUCCUUUUACAUCUACAUUUCUGCUGAGGCAUGAAUGCUAAACCGGGGAGACUGAACUAUGCCUGAAGUGUAAGAGAUACUAAGAGUUGUUUUUUUUUUUUCCAGAUGCAGCCCUGCCCGGGGAGGCUGGCAGCCUAAAAGUGAGGAAAUACUGUUUCAGCGUUACGAUUAGUAGACAAGCUUCCGAAUAAAUCACAGAGCUGCCAUCAGCCAGCAAAGCAGCGGUGCUGGCAGCUGCGUGACACCAGAAGCCAUGUCGGGCUGUUUUAGUGAAGUUCUGGUGUUAAAUGUGACUUAAAUACCACUUCUGGAACAGAACCCAGCGCACAGCUGGCAGACGGGACCGGCACAGAGACCUCUGAGGCGAGGCGGCACUGGCAGGGCC